GAUGAACGCUGGCGGCGUGCCUAAUACAUGCAAGUCGAGCGAACAGACGAGGAGCUUGCUCCUCUGACGUUAUCGGCGGACGGGUGAGUAACACGUGGAUAACCUACCUAUAAGACUGGGAUAACUUCGGGAAACCGGAGCUAAUACCGGAUAAUAUAUUGAACCGCAUGGUUCAAUAGUGAAAUACGGUUUUGCUGUCACUUAUAGAUGGAUCCGCGCCGCAUUAGCUAGUUGGUAAGGUAACGGCUUACCAAGGCGACGAUGCGUAGCCGACCUGAGAGGGUGAUCGGCCACACGGGAACUGAGACACGGUCCAGACUCCUACGGGAGGCAGCAGUAGGGAAUCUUCCGCAAUGGGCGAAAGCCUGACGGAGCAACGCCGCGUGAGUGAUGAAGGUCUUCGGAUCGUAAAACUCUGUUAUUAGGGAAGAACAAAUGUGUAAGUAACUAUGCACGUCUUGACGGUACCUAAUCAGAAAGCUACGGCUAACUACGUG
rnacentral:rRNA from 1 species